GAGGGGGAUAUUCAUGAUGAGCGUAGCCUUGAUGCAGAAAACAGAAAGGGAAAAUUUCUAGGCCGAUUUCACUGAACAAAGAUGCAAAAAUCCCCAAACCAAAAUGGCCAGCAAACCAAAUUCUGCAACACACAAGUAAGUAUACACCAUGACCAAGUUGGAUCUAUCCAGGAGGAAUGCGGGGCUGGUUUGACAUUAGAAAAAUCCAUAUAAUUUGUUACAUUAACAGAAUACAUGAAAUAAAUAUGAUCAUCUCAUAUAGAUGCAGUAAACCAUCUAAUAAAAUUCUACAUCCAUAUAUCUUUUUGUAAAAAAGUAAUUUUUAACAAACCAGAAGGGAACUUCCUAAAUCUGAUAAAAAUUAUGUACCAAAACCCUAAAAUAAACAUUAAUGGUAAGUUCUCUAGUGUGUCCCUAUUGGGUGCAGUUUGGAAACCUAAGUUUUGACUUCUUCCUUCAUUUUUUUUUAAUGUUUAUUUAUUUUUGAGACACAGAGACAGAGACAGAGUGCAGGUGGAGGAGGGGCAGAGAAAGAGAGGGAGACAGAAUCCGAAGCAGGCUCCAGGCUCCGAGCUGUCAUCACAGAGCCCGACGCGGGGCUCGAACUCACAAGCUGUGAGAUCAUGACCUGAGCUGAAGUUGGACGCUUAACCGACUGAGCCACCCAGUUGUUGGCAUCUACCCAAGAUGUUCCUUGGGGUAUGUGGAGGAGAAGCUGUCCCAAAGCUCUGUGUAGUGGCCGAGAGGAUCUCACUGAAGAGCUGAGAACAGCAUGUCAGAGAGACCACCGCUUGAAAGCCUGUCGUGCUUACAGACUCCUUUCGAAAGAGGCCGCCCCGACCACAACCCGCCAAGCAGGUAGCAACGCAGUCUGUUUCUUCAGCAUGGGUGACCAUGUUGUCUAGCAUGUGAGCCGUCCAUCCUAGCCACAGGUGGAGCAGGAGAGGACACCUGGCUCAGAGGUAGCCAGCCUAUGGGCUGCUCAGUGGCUUCC